UUAUUGCACCUUGAUUUCUUGAUUUGGUUUGAUCUAUUUAAUGUCCUCACAGUAAAGUCCUUUGUCAGAAAGGGUGUGUCUAUCCACUUUUACGACAAUUGUGGGCUCAAAAUCAAAAAACAAAGCACGGCCUUGCUUGUCAUGCAAUCAKUAGCAAAGUCCUAUCAAAGGACUGUUAUCUUUCAGAUCAAAMAGUCCAAUGUUCCCUCAACACGUGCAUCUUUUCGGCGUAAAAGCUGUAAACGUCGGAUCGCAUCAUGUCAAUGUAAUUUUAAAUUUUGUGUGACAUUGUGCAAUUCAUCAAAAUGAAAAGCCGCGGGUUAAUACAGUGCGAAAUGUCUAAAAUGGUAAGCUGAAUGAUGAUUUUACUUUGAUUUCAGAAAAUAAAGCGACGUUCGAAGAGAAGUAGGACUUUAUCUCGUGGGGAGAGUGACUACAAAAGAACCAUUCGACUAAGUAGACAAUUGUCAGACCUUGUGACGUACACGCCGUCGAUUUCGUUUAAAGGGCUGGACAUCGAUGAAAACGCAUCAAGACUGGAAGUAGUUUCAAUCCCAGAAUCCAAGGCGUACCGUUACACUGACACUAAGGCCGCUCAAUUYGUUAAAUACACAAGAUGUAAGUUAUGCCGUAUUUACCCUGCUGGAUACAGGAUUGAUUCCAGCAACCCWAACCCACAAUGCUUUUGGAACUGUGGAUGUC